CUAAGGAUGAUCCUUCAGCGAGCUCACGCUCACUAUCGGAUCGUUUUAGAAACAUCAGUGGCCAACAGAUCGCCAGAUCGUUGAGCUGCAUUGGCGGGAUUUCGCCGUCUUCGUUUCUCUUUCUUCGCGGACGAACACGCGCCGGGGCUGCGCUGUGCGAUUGCAUUCGGCGCUGGUCGCCGAUGCAUGCACGCAAGACCCUAGUCCUGAUAGGAUAGCGUUAGGGGCUUGUAGCUCAGUUGGUUAGAGCGCGCGCUUGAUAAGCGUGAGGUCGGAAGUUCAAGUCUUCCCAGGCCCACCAGCCUUCGCUCGCGCCAGCGAGUGCAAGGCUGCCACGCCGAAGCCCUGUGGGCGAAGGCGGGCUAGUCAGCGCGAGCUUCGGCUCGGCAAGCCAUGGUACGAGCAUCGCGCUUCGUCUUCUGGUUACGGGGCCAUAGCUCAGCUGGGAGAGCGCGUGCUUUGCAAGCAUGAGGUCGUCGGUUCGAUCCCGUCUGGCUCCACCAGAUGGUUUGAUCAUCGAUGCCGUGUUUGCAGGUAUUCAACCGUCGUCCGCGAAACAUCACUUCGCACUCAUUAGUCCGGAUGGACAAUGAGCUGCGUGUUUUCUGACAUCGUAAAGAGGAGAUCGAUCCGAGUUGGGUCGUGCAGCAAAUCGUUGCGCGAGCCUUCAUUAUCUCCGGAUCAUUUCGGCGCUCGCGCGCCUUUCAGUGCGGCCCACAAGGUUGCAUCUGGAAGAUGGGCGAGUUGUAAAUGAUCCUUUUAGCGAAGCUUGACCGCCUCGCUAUCGGAACGAUCUUACGAAGCAAGCUGGUCUUUCUAGUCAAUGUCCGGCUGUACGUAGCAUUCAUCGAGGGUGCGCGCCGCAAGGCAAUCGUACAGACAACAUUCUGCCGAGUGUGUGGACAUUGAUAAUGAGAGC
rnacentral:tRNA from 13 species